rnacentral:rRNA from 1 species
AGAGUUUGAUCCUGGCUCAGAUUGAACGCUGGCGGCAGGCCUAACACAUGCAAGUCGAACGGUAACAGGAAACAGAUUGCUGUUUCGCUGACGAGUGGCGGACGGGUGAGUAAUGUCUGGGAAACUGCCUGAUGGAGGGGGAUAACUACUGGAAACGGUAGCUAAUACCGCAUAACGUCGCAAGACCAAAGAGGGGGACCCUCGGGCCUCUUGCCAUCGGAUGUGCCCAGAUGGGAUUAGCUUGUUGGUGGGGUAACGGCUCAACACACAGGGGAUCCGAUCCCUAAGCUUGUUCUGAGAGGACUGACCAGCCACACGUGGAACUGAGACACGGUUCAGACUUCUACGGGAGGCAGCAGUGGGGAAUAUUGCACAAUGGGCGCAAGGCUGAUGCAGGCAUGCCGCGUGUAUGAAGAAGGCCUUCGGGUUGUAAAGUACUUUCAGCAGGGAGGAAGGGAGUAAAGUUAAUACCUUUGCUCAUUGACGUUACCCGCCAGAAGAAGCACCGGCUAACUCCGUGCCAGCAGCCGCGGUAAUACGGAGGGUGCAAGCGUUAAUCGGAAUUACUGGGCGUAAAGCGCACGCAGGCGGUUUGUUAAGUCAGAUGUGAAAUCCCCGGGCUCAACCUGGGAACUGCAUCUGAUACUGGCAAGCUUGAGUCUCGUAGAGGGGGGUAGAAUUCCAGGUGUAGCGGUGAAAUGCGUAGAGAUCUGGAGGAAUACCGGUGGCGAAGGCGGCCCCCUGGACGAAGACUGACGCUCAGGUGCGAAAGCGUGGGGAGCAAACAGGAUUAGAUACCCUGGUAGUCCACGCCGUAAACGAUGUCGACUUGGAGGUUGUGCCCUUGAGGCGUGGCUUCCGGAGCUAACGCGUUAAGUCGACCGCCUGGAGGAGUACGGCCGCAAGGUUAAAACUUCUAAUGAAUUGACCGGGGGCCCGCACAAGCGGUGGAGCAUGUGCGUUUAAUUCGAUGCAACGCGAAGAAUGCUUACCUGGUCUUGACAUUCCACGGACGUUUUCGGAGAUGUGAAUGUGCCUUCGGGAACCGUGAAGACAGGUAGCGUGCAUGGCUGUCGUCACUGCUCGUGUUGUGAAAUGUUGGGUUCAGUCCCGCAACGAGCUGCUAUACCUCAGUGCUAUACGCUCUUGUUGCCAGCGGUCCGGCCGGGAACUCAAAGGAGACUGCCAGUGAUAAACUGGAGGAAGGUGGGGAUGACGUCAAGUCAUCAUGGCCCUUACGACCAGGGCUACACACGUGCUACAAUGGCGCAUACAAAGAGAAGCGACCUCGCGAGAGCAAGCGGACCUCAUAAAGUGCGUCGUAGUCCGGAUUGGAGUCUGCAACUCGACUCCAUGAAGUCGGAAUCGCUAGUAAUCGUGGAUCAGAAUGCCACGGUGAAUACGUUCCCGGGCCUUGUACACACCGCCCGUCACACCAUGGGAGUGGGUUGCAAAAGAAGUAGGUAGCUUAACCUUCGGGAGGGCGCUUACCACUUUGUGAUUCAUGACUGGGGUGAAGUCGUAACAAGGUAGCCGU